GACGAACGCUGGCGGCGUGCUUAACACAUGCAAGUCGAGCGAUGAAGUUCCUUCGGGAAUGGAUUAGCGGCGGACGGGUGAGUAACACGUGGGUAACCUGCCCCAUAGAGGGGAAUAGCCUUCCGAAAGGUAGAUUAAUACCGCAUAAGAUUGUAGUAUCGCAUGAUAUAGCAAUUAAAGGAGCAAUCCGCUAUGAGAUGGACCCGCGUCGCAUUAGCUAGUUGGUGAGGUAACGGCUCACCAAGGCGACGAUGCGUAGCCGACCUGAGAGGGUGAUCGGCCACAUUGGGACUGAGACACGGCCCAGACUCCUACGGGAGGCAGCAGUGGGGAAUAUUGCACAAUGGGGGAAACCAUGAUGCAGCAACGCCGCGUGAGUGAUGACGGUCUUCGGAUUGUAAACCUCUGUCUUCAGGGACGAUAAUGACGGUACCUGAGGAGGAAGCCACGGCUAACUACGUGCCAGCCGCCGCGGUAA
rnacentral:rRNA from 1 species